rnacentral:rRNA from 1 species
UACGAGGGAUGCAAGCGUUAUCCGGAAUUAUUGGGCGUAAAGCGUUUGUAGGCGGGCGAGUGUGUUUAGUGUUAAAUCUUAAAGCUCAACUUUGAAAUUGCGUUAAAAACUGCUUGUCUUGAGUAUGGUAGGGGUAAAGGGAAUUCCCAGUGUAGCGGUGAAAUGCGUAGAUAUUGGGAAGAACACUAAACAGCGAAGGCACUUUACUAGGCUAAUACUGACGCUGAGAAACGAAAGGUAAGGUAGCGAAACGGAUUAGAUACCCGUGUAGUCUUACCCGUAAACUAUGGACACUAAACGGUAAAUUUUUAAUUUACUGUUAAAGCUAACGCGUUAAGUGUCCCGCCUGGGGAGUAUGCUUGCAAAAGUGAAACUCAAAGGAAUUGACGGGGGCCCGCACAAGCGGUGGAGCAUGUGGUUUAAUUCGACGGUACACGAAGAACCUUACCAGGAUUUGACAUGCUAGAUAGUUGCUUGAAAGAGUAACGUGCCGUAAGGAAUCUAGACACAGGUGGUGCAUGGCUGUCGUCAGUUCGUGUUGUGAAAUGUUGGGUUAAGUCUCGCAACGAACGCAACCCUUGUCUUUAGUUAUUUUCUAAAGAGACUGCCUGUAAUAAACAGGAGGAAGGUAAGGAUGAGGUCAAGUCAUCAUGCCCCUUAUGUCCUGGGCUACACACGUGCUACAAUGGGAAAGACAAUGAGCUGCAAAUCUGUAAAUUUAAGCAAAUCUCUUAAACUUUCUCGUAGUUCGGAUUGUGGGCUGCAACUCGCCCACAUGAAGUUGGAAUCGCUAGUAAUCGCCAGUCAGCUAUAUGGCGGUGAAUCCGUUCCCGGGCCU